rnacentral:rRNA from 1 species
UACGGAGGGUGCGAGCGUUGUCCGGAAUCACUGGGCGUAAAGGGCGCGUAGGCGGCGCGGCAAGUCAACGGUGAAAGCUUGGGGCUCAACUGGGGAAUUGCACGGGAAACUGCGAGGCUUGAGUUCGGGAGAGGGAAGCGGAAUUCCGGGUGUAGCGGUGAAAUGCGUAGAUAUCCGGAGGAACACCGGUGGCGAAGGCGGCUUCCUGGACCGACACUGACGCUGAGGCGCGAAAGCUAGGGGAGCAAACGGG